rnacentral:rRNA from 1 species
GAUGAACGCUGGCGGCGUGCUUAACACAUGCAAGUCGAACGAUGAACCUCACUUGUGGGGGGAUUAGUGGCGAACGGGUGCGUAACACGUGAGUAACCUGCACUUGACUCUGGGAUAAGCCUGGGAAACCGGGUCUAAUACUGGAUACGACCUUCUGGCGCAUGCCAUGUUGGUGGAAAGCUUUUGUGGUUUUGGAUGGACUCGCGGCCUAUCAGCUUGUUGGUGGGGUAAUGGCCUACCAAGGCGACGACGGGUAGCCGGCCUGAGAGGGUGACCGGCCACACUGGGACUGAGACACGGCCCAGACUCCUACGGGAGGCAGCAGUGGGGAAUAUUGCACAAUGGGCGCAAGCCUGAUGCAGCGACGCCGCGUGAGGGAUGAAGGCCUUCGGGUUGUAAACCUCUUUCAGUAGGGAAGAAGCCGGCUUUUGGGUUGGUGACGGUACCUGCAGAAGAAGCGCCGGCUAACUACGUG